rnacentral:rRNA from 1 species
GAUGAACGCUAGCUACAGGCUUAACACAUGCAAGUCGAGGGGAAACGAUAUUGGAAGCUUGCUUCCGAUAGGCGUCGACCGGCGCACGGGUGAGUAACGCGUAUCCAACCUGCCCGUCACUUGGGAAUAACCUUGCGAAAGUAAGACUAAUGCCCAAUGACAUUUAUAGAAGGCAUCCGAAAUGAAUUAAAGAUUUAUCGGUGAUGGAUGGGGAUGCGUCUGAUUAGCUUGUUGGCGGGGUAACGGCCCACCAAGGCGACGAUCAGUAGGGGUUCUGAGAGGAAGGUCCCCCACAUUGGAACUGAGACACGGUCCAAACUCCUACGGGAGGCAGCAGUGAGGAAUAUUGGUCAAUGGGCGAGAGCCUGAACCAGCCAAGUAGCGUGCAGGAUGACGGCCCUAUGGGUUGUAAACUGCUUUUAUAAGGGAAUAAAGUGAGAGUCGUGACUCUUUUUGCAUGUACCUUAUGAAUAAGGACCGGCUAAUUCCGUG